AGUCGAGGGGCAGCAUUUUAGUUUGCUUGCAAACUGAAGAUGGCGACCGGCGCACGGGUGAGUAACACGCUAUCCAACCUGCCGAUAACUCCGGAAUAGCCUUUCGAAAGAAAGAUUAAUACCGGAUAGCAUACGAAUAUCGCAUGAUAUUUUUAUUAAAGAAUUUCGGUUAUCGAUGGGGAUGCGUUCCAUUAGUUUGUUGGCGGGGUAACGGCCCACCAAGACUACGAUGGAUAGGGGUUCUGAGAGGAAGGUCCCCCACAUUGGAACUGAGACACGGUCCAAACUCNUACGGGAGGCAGCAGUGAGGAAUAUUGGUCAAUGGGCGAGAGCCUGAACCAGCCAAGUAGCGUGAAGGAUGAAGGCUCUAUGGGUCGUAAACUUCUUUUAUAUGGGAAUAAAGUUUUCCACGUGUGGAAUUUUGUAUGUACCAUAUGAAUAAGGAUCGGCUAACUCCGUGCCAGCAGCCGCGGUAAUACGGAGGAUCCGAGCGUUAUCCGGAUUUAUUGGGUUUAAAGGGAGCGUAGGUGGAUUGUUAAGUCAGUUGUGAAAGUUUGCGGCUCAACCGUAAAAUUGCAGUUGAAACUGGCAGUCUUGAGUACAGUAGAGGUGGGCGGAAUUCGUGGUGUAGCGGUGAAAUGCUUAGAUAUCACGAAGAACUCCGAUUGCGAAGGCAGCUCACUAGACUGUNACUGACACUGAUGCUCGAAAGUGUGGGUAUCAAACAGGAUUAGAUACCCUGGUAGUCCACACAGUAAACGAUGAAUACUCGCUGUUUGCGAUAUACAGUAAGCGGCCAAGCGAAAGCAUUAAGUAUUCCACCUGGGGGAGUACGCCGGCAACGGUGAAACUCAAAGGAAUUGACGGGGGCCCGCACAAGCGGAGGAACAUGUGGUUUAAUUCGAUGAUACGCGAGGAACCUUACCCGGGCUUAAAUUGCAACAGAAUAUAUUGGAAACAGUAUAGCCCUAAGGCUGUUGUGAAGGUGCUGCAUGGUUGUCGUCAGCUCGUGCCGUGAGGUGUCGGCUUAAGUGCCAUAACGAGCGCAACCCUUAUCUUUAGUUACUAACAGGUCAUGCUGAGGACUCUAGAGAGACUGCCGUCGUAAGAUGUGAGGAAGGUGGGGAUGACGUCAAAUCAGCACGGCCCUUACGUCCGGGGCUACACACGUGUUACAAUGGGGGGUACAGAAGGCGGCUACCUGGUGACAGGAUGCUAAUCCCAAAAACCUCUCUCAGUUCGGAUCGAAGUCUGCAACCCGACUUCGUGAAGCUGGAUUCGCUAGUAAUCGCGCAUCAGCCAUGGCGCGGUGAAUACGUUCCCGGGCCUUGUACACACCGCCCGUCAAGCCAUGAAAGCCGGGGGUACCUGAAGUACGUAACCGCAAGGAGCUCCUAGG
rnacentral:rRNA from 1 species